ACCUGAUCCCCAGAGCAUGUCUUUAGACUGUGGGAGGAAGCCAGAGGACCCGGAGAGAACCCACGCAGACAGGGGGAGAAUAUGCAGACCGCACACAGAAAGGCCACAGGGAGAAGUCGAACCCAGGACCUUCUUGCUGUGAGGCCACAGUGCUAACCAUGACACCACCGUGCUGCCCGUAUGGCAUUCCAAUAUAUUUGAAUGUUAAAGUAUUUGCUUCGAAUUCAGCAUUCUGCAAAUGUGCUUCUUCCCCUUUCUUACAGAUUGCAAAUCAUUGACACGCAUGUGGCUUCAGCAGACCUCUAUUGGACAUAAUAAAUGUUUCCACUCUUUACAUUGAUGUUCCUAACAAGGAUAUCUCAAAUUCUCUGAAUUCAACUGAGGACACCGCCAGCUUGGCCAAAAGUGUGGCGUAUAAUGGACUAAACUAUAGAUGUGUGAUGAUUUUGAUCAAUGGCUUACUGGAUACAUGGCCAGUUUGAUAAAAUCAUAUAAAUGGUGAUACUGCAAGACAAGUUCAUCUUCAUUGUGUAGAAGCUCAGCCUGUAAAAUUAGAAAUGAAUGAUUUGAAUAAUAAAUAUUCUUUUUCAUUGUGUAACCAGUGAGGAAAUGUCCCUCCUGAGCUACUGUAGGCUCAGGCAGGCCUCGGUACCUCCUACUUUGUGGUUUGACAGGGUAUAAAAGCUGCACAUUAUGUAGCAGCUGUCAGUAUGCUUGUCCCUUUCUGUGUUGGAGUCUGGUUGGACAAUCUAGUGAGCUGACUGCUAUGGCUGGUUCCACACCUGCAGAAUCCAGAUUAACAUUGAAAAACUAACACUUCCAAAUGCUUGCCAGAGUCUCUAGAUAUCUUCACUGCAAGAUGAAGACAACCUUUAGGUUAAAGGGCAACCUCUGACUUCAAUACAUGGAUUAAGAUUUUGCCAAUUACUUAUUUAAUCUAAAUUCUACCACUGAAUUUCAGGGACAAGUAGGAGGCCAAACAGUUGGUUCAAUAUGCGAUGGGCAAGAAACCUGGUGGAGACCGUAGUGCCAUGAAUACAAAAAAGUCUUGUAGGACACAACUGCAAUUGCUGAUUAUGGGCGGUCGACCUAAACUGACAGACCUGUCCAGGUCAAAGGAGGCUCAUGGAUCUUGGGGAGAAGAUGGGCGAGGCCUGAGCUCUUAAUCAAGGACUGUCCAGAGAAAACAGGCUCCUGCCUUGAUCGCCAGAAGUGGUCAAGCAGUUUCAGCCUCUUGUGAGAGUGGAAAUUACCAGCAGUCUUGAGUGAUUUGAGUGAACGUGUCUCUCUGUUACAAACCCGAUCUUUCCUUUAAUGGAAUCGGGUUGAGUGUUGCUGCUGGCUCUGUGUAGCUGUACGAUCGGCACUGCAGGUGUAUUGGUGCGAAGCUCCCUGACGGGGUUGUAAAAUUGCUUCACGUGCGCUGGUAUCUGCACCAGCCCCUCCCUUCCCUGCCACGGUGCUGUUUUGUCGCCGCUGACUUUGGGUUUAAACUACGUUCAACGGGUUGCAGCUACACAACUGUAAAUUCCUCCAGGCGUUGAGCGCCUCACAGCGCCCGGAUCUGUUGCUUAAAGUGACAGGGCUGUCUGAUUGCAACCCGGUUGAUAGUUUGCCUUUUUUUGGUUUGCCCGUGCUUGCUACUAUGUGUAUGGAGAUUGGGGUUUAUUUGUUAAAUUAUGAUUUUAAGUGAUGUUGGUUUAUAUUUCUAAGUUUCGAUAAGAAGACUAAUUUUGGUUGGAAUUCUAUUAUCUGUUAAUUUUGGUUAUUUUAGUUGGUAGGCUCUAGUGGUGCCGAAGGUGGUGGUGUGUCUCUCUCCAGUGUGCUGUGUUUUCCCCGUUUGGUUUAAUUUGAGUCGUUUGCUGCAGUGUGAUUGGGGUGAUCCUUCUCUGAGACCCCAUUGACCCUGUCCCUCCACCGGUAAGACCUCAGCACUUACUUUCCCUAUUUAGUAGGUCUGGUAUUUUAAAUGGUAUUUUAUAUUUGUUUUAGUAAUUGUAUUAAAUAAAAUCAUUGUUGUAACGGAACUACGUCUCUGGCUUCAUGCAUGAAUCAAAUCUGUGUGCUUUAGUAAAAUACUAUUCUCGGGGUGAAAUUCCCCGGGUGGCGUUGCCAGUGUCAUCAGUGUUGAGCGGGCCAAAAAGGCACUCCACACCAAAAGAGUUCCACUCGCCACAUAAUGCUUGUCAUGCAGGCUGUGUGACAGGUCUAAUAACAUGUUCUGUUUUUCCUAACUGUCAAGAGCCUGACUGGUGCAUAAUGUAUUAAAUGAAUCUGCUUCUAAUAUGUUGUAUGUCCUGAAAUAUGCCGCCCUCUUUAGCUGCUUCAUUUAAUAUUUGCAAUUUCCCUGUAUGUGCAAAAAGCUGCCAUCAUUGUUCGGGAAAAAUUCCGGUUGCGUUAGGUAAAGUAGUUUUAGAAGUGGCCCAGCAACUUCAGUAUGCUGUGAAAAUUGCCAGCUGACUUAUGGAUUUGAGUGAGAGGUAAGACCUUUUCUCCAGUACUGAUUUUGUUAUGUCAUGCAGGCUGUGUGACGGGUCUAAUACUGUUUAGAAGGCCUGACUGUUUUGCUUAUGCAUCUGCUUAUAAAUAUGUACUGAACUACGUGUGUGUGUGUGUGUGUGUGUGUGUGUAACUAUUUCUGGUUGGCUAAAGUACUGUUGUACUACUACGCAGAAAAAUUCAGAACACAAUUGGCUCCUGCCUCAAGUCUUCCAAAAAGUGGUCAAGCAGCUUUACCCCUCCUGUGAAAUUCUCCUGCCAACUUAGCGAUUCGAGUAACAGGGAAAGUGGAAGCCAACUGGUUCAAGACUUUCCUGACAUAAUGGACAGCUGACAGGAUUUGGCGGAAGGCAAGACCAGGGGUUGCGCUAAGUGUUAGGGGUUGCGCUAAGUGUUAGGGGUUGCGCUAAGUGUUAGGGGUUGCGCUAAGUGUUAGGGGUUGCGCUAAGUGUUAGGGGUUGCGCUAAGUGUUAGGGGUUGCGCUAAGUGUUAGGGGUUGCGCUAAGUGUUAGGGGUUGCGCUAAGUGUUAGGGGUUGCGCUAAGUGUUAGGGGUUGCGCUAAGUGUUAGGGGUUGCGCUAAGUGUUAGGGGUUGCGCUAAGUGUUAGGGGUUGCGCUAAGUGUUAGGGGUUGCGCUAAGUGUUAGGGGUUGCGCUAAGUGUUAGGGGUUGCGCUAAGUGUUAGGGGUUGCGCUAAGUGUUAGGGGUUGCGCUAAGUGUUAGGGGUUGCGCUAAGUGUUAGGGGUUGCGCUAAGUGUUAGGGGUUGC